ACUUUGACGGGGACUACGUCCGGAGGGUUGGCUACACCCCUGCGACGUAGUAACCGUCACUCCCUCAAUGUUGAUGGUUCUUCCUCGACUGAUGAGCACUCUCUUGCGAAGGCAAUGCGUCUCCAGGCUUCGAGGAAUUUGGACCCCAUGACAGGUUAUUUUCCGUUGUACGCACUCGCUUCGUACGUGGUGUACGCUACAACGAGCGGAGUACCAACCGCUGUUCAAGGCGGUGUGUACGCUGUUGGAGCAGGUGGCUACGGAGGUUUUUACCCAACAUGGAUGGCAGCAUAAUCUCCGGCUCGGUCCACCAUCUCUUUCGACAUAGGCAUAGUGUCGGUCUAUAGACUCUACUGUUGCCGAAUUGUCGGUCUUUUAUCUUUCUACUUAUCAGACUACUGGUGUUUGGCUGUG